UCACAUGCAAAAUUACACAGGAAUGUGGCUGACUUUUUAUUUGUAGUUUACAUGAGUGUCCUUGCACUUUUAUAGGAGUUAAGGCAGAUGUGGAGGCACAACGGGUGAUACCAGACACACACCAAGCACAUUAUGUUUGGACAUUCAAUCAUGACAUGAUCCAUGUGGAUGCUGUCCAUUGAGGAAAGAGUUUGUUCAGCGGUUUCUGGAUAGAAUUAAUUCCAAAGAUGGGAAAAAGUGCACAUCCAGACAAGGAGCAAGCAAAAAGACAAGGAACUUGGUGCAGAGAAAAGCUGUGGCCAUUAACCCCCAUGUGAACAGCUUCAUGCAGUCCCUGAUUGAGUUCGAAUGGACGACUUCAAAGUAAAGGCCACUGUGGUCUGUCUGCCACAGUUUAAUUUUUAAUUUAUUUUUAGUGUUCAAUGAAAUUCAAGUAUAAUAUUUAAAACUAUGGGCCAGUGUUGUUUUUACCACAGUGAAAUGUUACCUUUUAGUCGAUGAUGGACUUUAAACUGAAAACUUCAAACUAUGGAACAGUGUUCUAUUUGCCAGAGUUAAAUAUGUUACAGCAGGGGUCUCCAAACUUGUUUAUACUUGUU